rnacentral:rRNA from 1 species
UACGAAGGGGGCUAGCGUUGCUCGGAAUCACUGGGCGUAAAGGGUGCGUAGGCGGGCCUUUAAGUUAGGGGUGAAAUCCUGGAGCUCAACUCCAGAACUGCCUUUGAUACUGAAGAUCUUGAGUUCGGGAGAGGUGAGUGGAACUGCGAGUGUAGAGGUGAAAUUCGUAGAUAUUCGCAAGAACACCAGUGGCGAAGGCGGCUCACUGGCCCGAUACUGACGCUGAGGCACGAAAGCGUGGGGAGCAAACAGG